rnacentral:rRNA from 1 species
AUUGAACGCUGGCGGCAUGCCUUACACAUGCAAGUCGAACGGCAGCACGGGUGCUUGCUCCUGUUGGCGAUUGGCGGACGGGUGCGUAAUACAUCUGCACCGGUCCUUUCUUUGUGGUUGGCCCGGCGGAAGCCGGAUUUAUACCACAUCCGAACCACGCAUGCAGGCGGGGGCCCUGGGGGCUUCGCGCUUUCGGGUUGGCCGAUGGCUGAUUAGCUAGUUGGUGGGGUAAAGGCCUACCAAGGCGACGAUCAGUAGCUGGUCUGAGAGGACGAUCAGCCACACUGGGACUGAGACACGGCCCAGACUCCUACGGGAGGCAGCAGUGGGGAAUUUUGGACAAUGGGCGAAAGCCUGAUCCAGCAAUGCCGCGUGUGUGAAGAAGGCCUUCGGGUUGUAAAGCACUUUUGUCCGGAAAGAAAAGCUUGACUCUAAUACAGUCGGGGGAUGACGGUACCGGAAGAAUAAGCACCGGCUAACUACGUG